UACAGAGGUCCCAAGCGUUGUUCGGAAUUACUGGGCGUAAAGCGCGCGCAGGCGGUCUUCCAAGUCAGUGGUGAAAGCCUGGAGCUCAACUCCAGAACUGCCAUUGAAACUGUUAGACUUGAGUACGAGAGAGGUGAGUGGAAUUCCCAGUGUAGAGGUGAAAUUCGUAGAUAUUGGGAAGAACACCGGUGGCGAAGGCGGCUCACUGGCUCGUAACUGACGCUCAGGCGCGACAGCGUGGGGAUCAAACAGG
rnacentral:rRNA from 1 species